rnacentral:lncRNA from 1 species
UAUUAUUUGGUAGUGUUUUUAAGAGAUAAUUUGAUGAUGAACAUGAUACUAAAAAUUACACCAUCUGUUUAAAAUUAGUAUAGAUACAAAUUGUAUAAAUAGUAUUUUUUUUAACUUAUUUAAUAGUAACUAAAAAUAAUUAUUUGAUAACAAUUUAAUUUUUCUAAAGUUUUAAACGAAAUAUAAUUGUAAAAGGUUAUAUGAUAGUAAUUUUCCUUUCCUAAAAUCCUAAAAAAAAAAAUGUAAAAGAGUAUUUGAUAUAUAUAUUUGAUUGUAAAUGAAAAGGAGCCCUUUAAAAAAAAUCCAAACAAAAAUAAAAUUUAAACUGAUUUUAAAAAAAAAUUUGAUGACAAGUAUGAUGUUAAAACUAUUUAAUUAACAAAAAUAAUGAAUUAAAAAAAUUAUUAAGUAUCGGAUAAGUUUAAUAAAAUAUUAAAUUAUUACAUAAGAAAGUGUAUGAUGUUGACAUUGACUCGAUUGGCUUUAUUUAACUUUAUUUUUUUUCAUUCUAUUCUUAAUUUGGGUUGUGUUGGGUUUAAAUUUAUAUGUAUGAGUUUUUUUUUCUAGCAUUAAGUAGAAAGUUGAUAAAAAUUCACUAGACACCAUGAUUAUAAAAUACAAACAUUAACUGUAAUUUAUGUAUAAAAACAUGUUUUUAGUUGUAAAAUAAGUCUCACACAACAUAUGCAAAAAUAAUCCUAAAAGUAUAAUAAUAUGUUUUGUUAUUUUUAUUUUUUUUAAAUUAAAUCAUCA